CCUACGGGUGGCAGCAGUGGGGAAUAUUGCACAAUGGGGGGAACCCUGAUGCAGCGACGCCGCGUGAGUGAAGAAGUAUUUCGGUAUGUAAAGCUCUAUCAGCAGGGAAGAAGAUGACGGUACCUGACUAAGAAGCCCCGGCUAACUACGUGCCAGCAGCCGCGGUAAUACGUAGGGGGCAAGCGUUAUCCGGAUUUACUGGGUGUAAAGGGGGCGUAGACGGCAGGGCAAGUCUGGAGGGAAAGCCCGGGGCCCAACCCCGGGACUGCUUUGGAAACUGCCAUGCUGGAGUGCAGGAGAGGUAAGUGGAAUUCCUAGUGUAGCGGUGAAAUGCGUAGAUAUUAGGAGGAACACCAGUGGCGAAGGCGGCUUACUGGACUGUAACUGACGUUGAGGCUCGAAAGCGUGGGGAGCAAACAGGAUUAGAUACCCUAGUAGUC
rnacentral:rRNA from 1 species